AUUGAACGCUGGCGGCAGGCUUAACACAUGCAAGUCGAGCGGAGCGAGGGUGCUUGCACCUUAGCUUAGCGGCGGACGGGUGAGUAAUGCUUAGGAAUCUGCCUAUUAGUGGGGGACACCAUUCCGAAAGGAAUGCUAAUACCGCAUACGCCCUACGGGUGAAAGCAGGGGAUCUUCGGACCUUGCGCUAAUAGAUGAGCCUAAGUCGGAUUAGCUAGUUGGUGGGGUAAAGGCCUACCAAGGCGACGAUCUGUAGCGGGUCUGAGAGGAUGAUCCGCCACACUGGGACUGAGACACGGCCCAGACUCCUACGGGAGGCAGCAGUGGGGAAUAUUGGACAAUGGGCGGAAGCCUGAUCCAGCCAUGCCGCGUGUGUGAAGAAGGCCUUUUGGUUGUAAAGCACUUUAAGCGAGGAGGAGGCUACUUAGAUUAAUACUCUGGGAUAGUGGACGUUACUCGCAGAGUAAGCACCGGCUAACUCUGUGCCAGCCGCCGCAGUAAAAC
rnacentral:rRNA from 1 species